CUUUUUUCUUCUUUUGCCAAAAUUGUUGUCUAAUUGAUUCAUGGAAGUGCAAUGAAACCACCUUUUCUAUGUCAAUAAUUGCUUCUGAUACAUUCAAAUUUCCACUUCAAACCCAUAUAUACGCACAGUGUGUGUGUAGGGUAGUUGGUGAUACCAAGAGCUGGAUGUGUAUGUAUACAUAUGUAUGUAUAUGUAUAAAUUAUGGGAGGGCGAUUUAUCUAU
rnacentral:lncRNA from 1 species